CCGACCUUAGCUCAGUUGGUAGAGCGGAGGACUGUAGUCAUUGCAGAUAAAUCCUUAGGUUGCUGGUUCGAAUCCGGCAGGUCGGA
rfam:Triticum aestivum genome assembly, contig: Triticum_aestivum_CS42_TGACv1_scaffold_527864_6DL